rnacentral:tRNA from 1 species
CGGGACUUGGGGUGCUCCAAAGGAGCCCCCUCGGUGCAAGGGGUCGCGGGUUCAAAUCCCGCCGUUCCGA